rnacentral:tRNA from 1 species
GUGCUCGUAGUGAAAUGGAUAUCACUCAAGCCUCCGAAGCUUGCGUUCUGGGUUCGAAUCCCAGCGAGCACG